rnacentral:rRNA from 1 species
GACGAACGCUGGCGGCGUGCUUAACACAUGCAAGUCGAACGGAAAGACCCUGCUUUUGUGGGUCUCUCGAGUGGCGAACGCGUGAGUAACACGUGAGUAACCUGCCCUUGACUUUGUGAUAACUUCAGGAAACUGGGGCUAUUACCGGAUAGAAGCUCCUGCUGCACGGUGGGGGUUGGAGAGUUUCGGCGGUUGGGGAUGGACUCGCGGCUUCUCAGCUUGUUGGUGGGGUAGUGGCUUUCCAAGGCUUUGACGGCUAGCCGGCAUGAGAGGGUGAACGGCGACAUUGGGACUGAGGUACGGCGCAGAAGCCUACGGUAGGCAGCAGUGGGGAGUAUUGCACAGUGGCGGGAAGCCUGAUGCGGCAGCGCUGGGUGCGGGAUAACGGCCUUCGAGGUAUAAACAACUGUGGCCGGUGACGAGGCGUUAGUGACGGUAAUUAGUAAGAAAGCACCGGCUAACUACGUG